ACCAUAGCUCAGUUGGUGGAGCAUGAGACUUUUAAUCUCAAGGCUGUGGGUUCGCGCCCCACGUUGGGUG